UGGGGAAUAUUGCACAAUGGGCGCAAGCCUGAUGCAGCCAUGCCGCGUGUAUGAAGAAGGCCUUCGGGUUGUAAAGUACUUUCAGUCGGGAGGAAGGUGGCAAGGUUAAUAACCUUAUCAAUUGACGUUACCGACAGAAGAAGCACCGGCUAACUCCGUGCCAGCAGCCGCGGUAAUACGGAGGGUGCAAGCGUUAAUCGGAAUUACUGGGCGUAAAGCGCACGCAGGCGGUUGAUUGAGUCAGAUGUGAAAUCCCCGGGCUUAACCCGGGAAUUGCAUCUGAUACUGGUCAGCUAGAGUCUUGUAGAGGGGGGUAGAAUUCCAUGUGUAGCGGUGAAAUGCGUAGAGAUGUGGAGGAAUACCGGUGGCGAAGGCGGCCCCCUGGACAAAGACUGACGCUCAGGUGCGAAAGCGUGGGGAGCAAACAGG
rnacentral:rRNA from 1 species